rnacentral:hammerhead_ribozyme from 1 species
GUCCAGCUGAUGAGUACCAAAUAGGACGAAACGUGCGUCCUGGAU